GACGUGUUUUGUCCCUAUUCUCAAGAAUCACUGAAAUAUUAAAUGUUGGGUUUAAGCUGUUUAAGCCCAACUUUAAUGUGUUUGAGACCCCCAUGAUGACUUUUCUCAUGCUCCAUGCUGGGUUCACAGCGUGUUUUCUGUAAGGGUGACAAUCCUCUUCACUAAAUUCAACCCAUAUCGGCAACACAAACACAAACCGUAACAUCUUUUUAGCCAAGUAAGUUGACACUCAGCUUAGAGCUUAGGCUUUUUUUAUUUUAUUUUAUUUUAUUUUUUUUAAUCACUCAGCUUUUACCAACAUGGGUUGUAUUUAUAGGUCCCUUUCAAGAAGUCCAGGGUUAUUUUGCGCCUAAAGUGAGAAAAAUCAAUAUUGUACUGUCGAACUCAUGUUAAAUCUGCACCUGCAGACUAUCAGUAAUAUCUUUGGUUGUUUGUGUGACAUUGUGCUCUGCAGAUGUUUACAUCUUGGGCCCCCUUAAGUCAAAUUUCAAGCCUCUCUUUUAGCAGAUCGGGGGCCUGCUUCCUGUUUGAACCCCAGAUGGUUGACUGGAAUGUAAAGUCAUUAGAUGGUGCAGUUGUGGGGAUGAGAGAGGGGGGCACUAGCCUGUACGCUGACGUCAAUAAAAACAGUCAUUUCCAACCAGUCUGCGCAUUGACCGACCAUUCAAAAACAUUACGCACAGCACCGCGGCCGGACUACGCUCGAUUACUCGACUGAAAUAACCUUUUUUUCCCCCCGCAGAUCCUUGGAGAGCGGACGCAGUGCGGACGAUCCCACCAUUGCAGGGGGAAGAGGAGCAUCUUGAAGGAGAAUCAUUUUGCUGAUCACCAUCACCCUGCUCUACGCUUUUAGCCUCUUUACGGUGCUGCCUUGUCUAAUAAUGUUCAAGCAGCAUUGUACAGGGCUAUGACAGCGUAGAGAGCUGCGCUGCGCUUCCUCAAUGGACCCCACAUUUGCUGCCAACCAGAGCCGGCCAGGAGCAGAAGCGAAAUCAGCCGCUGCUGCGCCUAAAACCGCUUUACUUCUAGUAUAGAUGAAAAGAAUAAAAAAAAAAAGUGCGUCUGCUUGAAACUCAGACGAUAGUUGUCCCUUUGUAAAAGUAUCUUAUAGUUAAUGUCUGUAAACCUUUGAUGACCUAAACUGUAUUUUUUUUUCCUGCAUUCUUCACAAAGUCCGCAGUGUGAAAAUGUAGACUUUGUGUUUCCCUUAUUUUGGGACAGAUGGUCUUUAAUGCAUGAUAUGUUCAGCAAGAAAUAUAAAACAGUUAAUAAAAUUAAACAUAAUGUAUUUAAAUUUUCUUA